rnacentral:rRNA from 1 species
AUGGGGGAUUUCAGGCCUAUUUCCCUGGUUCACAGUCUGCCCAAGUUUGCUUCUAAGGUGUUAACCAACAGGUUUCAACGCAGAAUUCCAGAGCUAGUGCACCCUUUGCAGUCUGGUUUUUUGAAAGGGCGUUCGAUCGUCGAAAACUUCGCUCUAGCCAUUGAACUGGUUCAAACUGCUCACAAAAGAAAGCCGCCGGUUAUUGUGUUAAAGUUAGACUUUCGAAAAGCUUUUGAUAGUGUGAGUUGGAGCUGUCUUUUCCAGAUCUUUGAAGCUAGAGGUUUUCCGCAUAGGUGGAUUCAUUGAAUUUCCUCCUUGCUAUCCACUGGUAAAUCGCGUGUGCUAAUGAAUGGAGAGCUCGGUGAUGUUUUCUCUGCUAAGAAGGGCUUUCAUCAAGGGGACUCUUCAUCUCCGUACCUUUUCAUCCUGGUUGCUGAUGUGCUUCAGCGCUUA